ensembl:lncRNA
GCCCUGUCUGAGGUGUGACGAGUGUCUCUCACAGGAGAUUAACAUUUUAGAGUCCCCGCUUCCCUCCCGCCCGCUUCACAACCCCAACGCUCCAGAAUCCCACAGGAAAAACAAAAACGUUUCUCCAAUGGAUAAAAAGCUUUGACCUUUUAUCAGCUGCAGGAAAUGCAUUAGCCGCCUCAUAAUCCAAUUUAUAGCACCAUGCAAAGGAUGGGUCUGCAUGGCGGAUUGAGAGGGAAAGGAGCAGAGAAAAACACCUUGGUGAAACCGUUACAGAAUCCCGCACCUCUGGAAUGGAGUCAGCAGGAGCAACAGCCACUCCCCUCCCAUCGAUGGAAGAGAGGGUUCUACAUCACACCACCGUACUCCAUCGGAUUGGAA